rnacentral:rRNA from 1 species
AUUGAACGCUGGCGGCAUGCCUUACACAUGCAAGUCGAACGGCAGCACUGGAGCAAUCCUGGUGGCGAGUGGCGAACGGGUGAGUAAUAUAUCGGAACGUGCCCAGUCGUGGGGGAUAACGUAGCGAAAGCUACGCUAAUACCGCAUACGAUCUAUGGAUGAAAGCGGGGGAUCGCAAGACCUCGCGCGAUUGGAGCGGCCGAUAUCAGAUUAGGUAGUUGGUGAGGUAAAGGCUCACCAAGCCGACGAUCUGUAGCUGGUCUGAGAGGACGAGCAGCCACACUGGGACUGAGACACGGCCCAGACUCCUACGGGAGGCAGCAGUGGGGAAUUUUGGACAAUGGGCGCAAGCCUGAUCCAGCAAUGCCGCGUGCAGGAUGAAGGCCUUCGGGUUGUAAACUGCUUUUGUACGGAGCGAAAAGGCUUCCACUAAUACUGGGGGCUCAUGACGGUACCGUAAGAAUAAGCACCGGCUAACUACGUGCCAGCCGCCGCGGUAACAC